GUGCUUGCUUCCACAGCACAUUUACUAAAACUGGAUGAUACAGAGAAGAUUAACGUGGCCCCUGUGUAAGGAUGACACACAAAUUCAUGAAGCAUUCCAUAUUUUU